rnacentral:rRNA from 1 species
CUCUAAGWAKUUUKAUUCAUGCUCAGGACGAACGCGGCGGCGUGCCUAAUACAUGCAAGUCGAGCGGACAGAAGRGAGCUGCUCCYGGAUGCUAKCGGCGGACGGGUGAGUAACACGUGGRUAWCCUGCCUGUAAGACUGGGAUAACUCCGGGAAACCGGAGCUAAUACCGGAUAGWUCCUUGAWCCGCAUGGUUCAAGGAUGAAAGACGGUUUCGGCUGUCACUUACAGAUGGACCCGCGGCGCAUUAGMUAGUUGGUGGGGUAAUGGCUCACCAAGRCGACGAUGCGUAGCCGACCUGAGAGGGUGAUCGGCCACACUGGGWCUGAGACACGGCCCAGACUCCUACGGGAGGCAGCAGUAGGGAAUCUUCCGCAAUGGACGAAAGUCUGACGGAGCAACGCCGCGUGAGUGAUGAAGGUUUUCGGAUCGUAAAGCUCUGUUGUUAGGGAAGAACAAGUGCGAGAGUAACUGCUCGCACCUUGACGGUACCUAACCAGAAAGCCACGGCUAACUACGUGCCAGCASCCGCGGUAAUACGUAGGUGGCAAGCGUUGUCCGGAAUUAUUGGGCGUAAAGGGCUCGCAGGCGGUUUYUUAAGUCUGAUGUGAAAGCCCCCGGCUCAMCCGGGGAGGGUCAUUGGAAACUGGGAAACUUGAGUGCAGAAGAGGAGAGUGGAAUUCCACGUGUAGCGGUGAAAUGCGUAGAGAUGUGGAGGAACACCAGUGGCGAAGGCGACUCUCUGGUCUGUAACUGACGCUGAGGAGCGAAAGCGUGGGGAGCGAACAGGAUUAGAUACCCUGGUAKUSCACGCCGUAAACGAUGAGUGCUAAGUGUUAGGGGGUUUCCGCCCCUUAGUGCYGCAGCUAACGCAUUAAGCAYCCSCCC